GGCUGGUCCAAAAGUAGUAAGUUAUUUUAAUUGAUCACAGUCAGUUAUAGAUUGAACUCCUUUUUCUAUUCUUUCCUCUUCUCACUACUGCAUCUGACUAGUGGGAA
rnacentral:Y_RNA from 1 species